UUAAACAAGUAAUUCAUAUAUAUUUGACAUGAAACAUCAUCUAUUAAACAAGUAAUUCCCAUAACAAAAAGAGAGAGAUACUUGGAGAAAUUACAGGAGAAAGAGCCAUCAGGGAGAGAGCUGUGAGGGAGAGAGAACCACCAGAGAGAGAGAGAGGGAAACCUGGACGGAGUUAGUUACAGUUUCCAGCGGACGACGAAGAACUCCGGCUGGUUUUACGGUGAGAUUUUCGGUUUAAACAAACUGUUGAGUUGAGAUUAGUGUGACUUCAAUCAAACUUGUUUGUGAGGGAGAGAGCCGUGAGAGAGAACCUAGAGAGAGAGAGAGAGAGAGAGAGAGAGAGAGAGAGAGGACUGUAGAGAAAGUGAUGGGGAUCAAACCAAUUGAUUUGGAAAAUCAAUUUUUUAGAGUAUAAGGGAUUUAGAGAGAGGGAAACCAAUUUUUUGGAGGGAGAGA
rnacentral:lncRNA from 1 species